GUGAGUUUUUAUCAACACCGUCAUUAAAUAUAGCCCAUGUGACGACUGAUAGAGACGGGGUAAUUACUUGUUAUUGGUUUCAAUAUUAUUGGACACGAACUGUACAUAUCGUUAUGCUAUUAUGUUGUUGUUGUUUUUUUCAUGUUCAUUUCUUAGUAUCUUUUUGUUUAUAUUUCAGAAAUUUGAAAUCGGUGAUUGAAUUUCUUCAAACGUAAAAGGAAACGUUUUCAUUUGGGAGCAAGAGGAGUGACUUUCCGAUACGUCUCAAAUAUAAGAAAGUAUAAAUUGUCAAUCAGUGCUUGAAAGUAUUCAAUGAAAGUGAAAAACUUGUGGAGCAAGGUACGACUUUCCAGGCGUGUCUCAAGAAUAAGCAAGCUGCGUUCUGGUUGGAAAGAUCAAGGGACAGUCGACAACCGGACACGUACGUUGAACAUUCGAAAGAAUUGUCGUACCAUCUUGAUUAUAUAAAAGGUGUAUUUUAAUUUUUUUAUACAACCAUCUUUCUACCAGAUUUUGCCGGAUAUCGAAGCUUGUCCCAGUAGUGGCGUAUCUGCGUGAAAUGGCGCCUAUGGAAAUGUUUGAAAUGCGCCCUCUUGAUCGAUCGUUUACUGAAAUUUUUACCUACGGUUUGUUGCUUUGGGAUACUUUUACGUUAUUUAAGUAGUUUUUAUCAAAAUGUGGUUUCGCCCAUUGUGCGCUCUCAUCCAAAUGGCUCCCCUGGCAGUAAAAGUGGCCCUCUCGCUAUAUAUGUAUGCCACUGAGCCCAGGUAUCACCCAGAAAUUCACAAUUCUCAAUUACGUGUCUGAUCAUGGCAGAAAAGCUUGAUAUCUCAAUGUUGCUCGCUUUUAAACAAUCCGUAACUGCAUUACCUUCAAUAUCUCAACUUUAUCCACAUCCUCUCAUACUUUUUUUCCGAAGACUAGAUGUAGA